UACAGAGGGCCCGAGCGUUGUUCGGAUUCAUUGGGCGUAAAGCGCGUGUAGGCGGCUCGGUAAGUCCGCUCUGAAAGUCCGGGGCUCAACCCCGGGAGGCGGGUGGAUACUGUCGAGCUCGAGUCCGGAAGAGGCGAGUGGAAUUCCUGGUGUAGCGGUGAAAUGCGCAGAUAUCAGGAGGAACACCGAUGGCGAAGGCAGCUCGCUGGGACGUGACUGACGCUGAGACGCGAAAGCGUGGGGAGCAAACAGG
rnacentral:rRNA from 1 species